rnacentral:rRNA from 1 species
AACGAACGCUGGCGGCAGGCUUAACACAUGCAAGUCGAGCGCCCCGCAAGGGGGGCGGCAGACGGGUGAGUAACGCGUGGGAACGUACCCUUUGCUACGGAAUAGCUCCGGGAAACUGGAAGUAAUACCGUAUGUGCCCUACGGGGGAAAGAUUUAUCGGCAAAGGAUCGGCCCGCGUUGGAUUAGCUAGUUGGUGGGGUAAUGGCCUACCAAGGCGACGAUCCAUAGCUGGUCUGAGGGGAUGAUCAGCCACAUUGGGACUGAGACACGGCCCAAACUCCUACGGGAGGCAGCAGUGGGGAAUAUUGGACAAUGGGCGCAAGCCUGAUCCAGCCAUGCCGCGUGAGUGAUGAAGGCCUUAGGGUUGUAAAGCUCUUUCACCGGAGAAGAUAAUGACGGUAUCCGGAGAAGAAGCCCCGGCUAACUUCGUGCCAGCCGCCGCAGUAAGAC